UACGUAGGACGCGAGUGUUGUCCGGAUUUAUUGGGCGUAAAGGGCUCGUAGGCGGCGUGUCGCGUCGGGGAGUGAAAGCCCGCUGCUUAACGGCGGGUUGGCUUCCGGUACGGGCAGGCUGGAGUGCGGCAGGGGGAGACUGGAAUUCCUGGUGUAGCGGUGGAAUGCGCAGAUAUCAGGAGGAACACCGAUGGCGAAGGCAGAUCUCUGGGCCGUAACUGACGCUGAGGAGCGAAAGCGUGGGGAGCAAACAGG
rnacentral:rRNA from 1 species